CAAGAAUCCCGGGCAGCAGGGAUGCUUCUCCAGCCCAGCCCAGACCUGCUCCAGAGACAGGCAGAGCACCAGCCCAGCCCUCUGAGCUCAGCUGGACCCGAAGAGCCAGGGAGUGGGCCUGCCCCAAGGGCUGACCUGCCAGCAGUCUCAGGUCUCCCAGCUCCAGCACACUGCCCUUCCUUCUCUGAACAAUGAUAUUCACCAGCACAUUAAUCUCACCUGAAAAAUGGAGAAUUCACACUUACAUCUCAGUGACACUGAUGAGUGCAGCACACGCCUUGGCCCCGAGGGAUGCCACCUGAUGAAUCAUGUCCUGUGACAUUUCAAUCCUCCUUGUAGAUAGAACUCUUGCAAAGAGAAGAAGGGCGGGAGGAGAGGGGAGGGAGGCAGUUAGGAGACAGAGGACUGGGCAACUAGGGUACCGUGGUGUCUUUGGGCCAGCUUCCUCGGAGGACAGGAGGCUGCCCUGGCUGCUCAGCCCUGGUCAAACUGCCCAGACCUUGCCUGAGCUGAGAUGCUCAUUCAGUCCCCCACUGCCCUUCUUCCUUUCUUGAGGGUGCAAGCAGGCAGCUCAUCUUACCUAGGAAGGUGGGAUAUGCCAUAGGGCUUCCUGGUAGACACUGGGGGUUGUGGACAUGAUCGAGGAAGUUGGGAAUCUGAAAUGUGCUUCUGAAAGCUCUGGACCUGGUUUGCCUGUACUACUGCAAGUGAAGAGUGGACAAGGAGGGGAGUAAGUCAUGCCCAGAGGGUCACUUGCAGGGCUGGGGAGGGGGUCAGCAGGCAUGGAGAUCUGGGGCCCAUGGGUACUUACAAGGCCAGACCAAACUCCAGCUAUCUCUGAUCACAUCGUAGAACACAGCACUGUGAACUAAGUCAGCCAGGCUCUGGAACCUCCUGGGAUGGAGGGGAAGCUUUGGAGUGUCCCACACUGAGACUGAGUAUGCACUGGUGGCCAGCAACUAUUGUGGCCGAUGGAGACAAGAAAGUGGGUCCAGGUGUGGAGGGCUCUCGUGGGAAGCAUUGGCCCUGGUGCAGAACCUGGGAAGGAAGAAGAGGCAGAGCGGAGCCACCUUCUGCAAGUGGAGACAGAGCCCACCCACCUCGAGGGGUCUGAACUCCAUAGGUGGGUUUGGGCAUAAGGAAGUAACUGGAGGGAGAAAGGCCCAUCCCCAAGGAGCCCUGUGGCCCAUGGCCACCUGAGAACUUUCUAGGCUAAGGCUGACCAGCCCAGUGCAGGCGUCCACUUAAAGCCCCAUUCUGCUGGGGAAGGAGUGUGCAGGCCUCAAGAGCACUCUGCUGAGCUGGCUGCUCUAAUUAUGGCUCCAGAGCUGAAAGGCCUUCAAAGGUCAUCCUCUGGGGGCUGCUGGCAGCCUUUGUGCCCCCAUGGACUGGUGGCUGGUCACAGAUCUCCUGCCCUAGCAGGAUAAAAGUGUCUGAAGGGAGCCCACUCCAGAGGGACCAUGUGCCUGACGAGGCUGGGUCCCUGGUCAGCAUGGCACUCACUCAGCCACCUGCCUUUAGGGACCUACAGAUAUGUGUGUUUUUUGUUUUUGUUUUUGUUUUCCAAUAAAAAGGCAAAUUUUAGAUCCAAG
rnacentral:lncRNA from 1 species